rnacentral:lncRNA from 1 species
CCACAGCCACGAGGUCGGUUGGUCUUGAUCUAUUGUUGUUUAAUUAUUCUUCUCUGUUCUUUUUAUAGUUCUUCUUUGUUCAGCUAUGUGUUUUUUUUUUCAUUUUCCAUAUCUAGAUUCAGAUCAAAAUCGAGUGGUUGGUUCUUACGGUUAUGGCGCUCCUGCUCCGGUACUCGUUACGGUUACUGAUUCUUGUGCAUGUGUGUUUUAGACUUUUGGAUCUAUGUCGUCGAUUUCUUCUUUGCAUGCGCCUGUCUCAGUUCUAUUCCUCUGUAGUUUUAGUGCUUAUCUUUGUUGCUCUGUUGGUGAAGAUGAUUGGUUAGAAUAGGAGGGCUUAUCCUUGGUAUCUAUUGCAACGAUUCGAUUUCGGCUAGGAUCGUGUUUUCUGGUCUUAUGCAGAGAAAUUCCGGAAACACUGCUUUUUUUCUGAAGGACUAGGAGCUUAUGCUAUUUAACAUCAGAUCGUCGGAAAGUAUUAGGUAAACCAGUCUCUUCACUGCGCCUUCUUUGGUUGUGUCAGUGCGAUCCUGCUUGUGGCUCCGAUGUGGAGCAAUAUAAUGAGUGAUGGCUUGAUCCUCUUGAAUAAAUGUUUGAACCGAGCUUGGUCGGAUUCUAGUAAGAUAGGAAAAACUCGUCGGUGGGUUAGUUCGAAGGCAUUUUCUAUUGAUCAGAAAUGUUUGUCGGUUACAAAUGAGGAAAUAAGCGGAGUAAAUACGGCGGUGCUCGCAGAGCUGGCCGGGAAAGUACAAGUCGACAGAAUACAAGAUAAGUAAAAUGCUAAUUCUAGCCGCCAAGUAUGAGUGUUGAUAUUCGGAUGGGUCCGAGUUACCGGCGAAGGGUGGAAAACAAAGUUUUUCCAUUGGGCGGAGACUGAUGGGGGUUCUGAGUGUUUCAGCGAGAACGCGAUCGAUUUGCGGGGUAGAGCUCAUGAUGUGGUGGAUCUUAGAAUGGAUGUCUUGGAGUGAGAGCUUGAGCUCGGCGAUUUCCCGGACGAUAGUUAGAGCCGGGCCAUUAGGGUUUUGCCCGGUGGUGGCUGUACGGUCUGUGUUAAAUAGCUGUCUUUGAAUGGUCGGAGGGUUGCUCGUGUUCGGUUGUCGCCUUUUCUGCUUCUUCCUAUUAGUGGAGACAAGCCAUGACGAACUCUGACAUGGUUGGUGCUGCGGCAACAAGGGUGGGUUCCGACUCUUCACUGGAGGUCAAUUCUCGAGAUUCAUGUUGAUAUGUGUCGAUGCUUCUUCGUUUUGCCCCAUGGUGGGUGCCAAAUGUUUAAUCCAUAGCUGUGUGUAUUGGAAUCAGACAUUAUAUUUUUAUGUAGGUUUAGGAAAAGUUUUCAUAAUGAGAACCAAAUGGAAAAGAAAAACAUAAAAUUUUUUUUAUAGAUUAUAGAUUUCAUUACAAAGAUAUAUUUUUCUUAGAAGUGUAAAGUGAAUCUAAGAAUCUAUAAAAUCUUUCUCGA